GAUGAACGCUGGCGGCGUGCCUAAUGCAUGCAAGUCGAGCGAACAGACGAGGAGCUUGCUCCUCUGACGUUAGCGGCGGACGGGUGAGUAACACGUGGAUAACCUACCUAUAAGACUGGGAUAACUUCGGGAAACCGGAGCUAAUACCGGAUAAUAUAUUGAACCGCAUGGUUCAAUAGUGAAAGACGGUUUUGCUGUCACUUAUAGAUGGAUCCGCGCCGCAUUAGCUAGUUGGUAAGGUAACGGCUUACCAAGGCAACGAUGCGUAGCCGACCUGAGAGGGUGAUCGGCCACACUGGAACUGAGACACGGUCCAGACUCCUACGGGAGGCAGCAGUAGGGAAUCUUCCGCAAUGGGCGAAAGCCUGACGGAGCAACGCCGCGUGAGUGAUGAAGGUCUUCGGAUCGUAAAACUCUGUUAUUAGGGAAGAACAAAUGUGUAAGUAACUAUGCACGUCUUGACGGUACCUAAUCAGAAAGCCACGGCUAACUACGUG
rnacentral:rRNA from 1 species